CCCGCCCAUCCCACCUGCAGAGCACCGUUGAAGCUCAGUUCUCCAGCGCCCGCAGGCUCAGGCAGCUGACAGCCAGAGGGGGAGAGACCCGGGUGAAAUUCUGUAUCCCGGGGGUGUCUUCUCAGGACUUUGGGGGCUCCCACCUGAGUGGCAGUUAACACGAAUGGAGAUCUUAGCUGUCCAUCCCUGAACCUGGAGACUCUUAAUGCGCUGCCCAAGGCCAUCAUCCCCCCAACACAGUGAGGCAAUGGAGCUGUCAGCAGAACACCUGAGCGCCUCUGAGGUCAUGAGAGCGAAUAGUUAUGCGAAGCCAUCAGCCCCUGACCAUGCGUCUCUAACAGGGUGACGUGGUAUACAGUCUAAGGAUACACAAGGACAGUCAAGCUUGAAAGUGACCAGAGAAGGCGCCUUUUCCAGGCUUUUUUUUUCUGGCCCCUAGCGACGGAGAACUGAAGGAGAAUGCCAGUGGUCAGAAGCAAGCCCAGGCCCUCCUCAGAGAACCAACGGCUACUGCAAAAUGAGGAACUCUGUUCAGAAGGAAGUCUGCUUUGACCUUUGGCUCCCCUCCCAUCUCCUUGCCAGAUGUCACAGUACUGAAGAAGGAUAGCCCCUCCAUGUGGACACGGCAUUCCACAAGGCUCAGCCUGGCCUCCCCAGACAGGACCUGGGUUCUUAUCUCCCAAAUGCAUGUCUCCGAUAAAGUUUGCUCUGUCCAGAGCUCACCGUCCUACCCAUUCUGGGAGAGUCUUGUUCCCUUGUUCCUGGUAAGCUCUCUUUGCUCUUAUGUGACAGGUGUAAUAAACGCUCCGACAGCACGGGUGAUUCAGAUUCAAGUUGGCACACACUGAAGGCCUGAUAGUCAGCAAGACAGCACCUACAGGGUAGAGCUAGUCUGUGUUCUAACUGGUCGUUGCACUGGACUUCUCUGAUGAAAUAUUUUCACAGUUGUCCCCUGCACUUACCAUGUCCAAGUUUGCACAGGCUGUUUCAUUAAGUCCUUGAAAGCCUAUUGGACAGAAAUUUCAUUUUACAGAGAAAGACAAAAGAGAAGGGGGCUUUGGAGUCAUGAGCCCAAGCCUAUUCUCUCUGCCACCCUCCAAUCGCUCAGCUUCUCCAAGGCCAUCUCCCCCUGCUUCCCCAGCAAUGGGCAUCUGCAUGGCCUCCCAGCCUUCUCUGUGGGGAACAGAGGUGAGCAGAGGUCCUCAGGCCGGGCCGAGGAAGCGCUCUCUGGAGUGUGUAUGAACUGUUACGACGGGCCACUGCUGUUAGGUGGCACAGUGCUUGGAUGAGUGUGGGACAAGCUGGGACACGUCACACGAAGUUGUGGCUGUGCACAGAGUGGUGUUCGUGUUUGCAGUUUCUGGAGUCAGUGGGCCAGCCAGCAGGACCUUGCCAGAAGGGACAGCACCGUCUUCUGACAGACUCUUCAUCAAAGCGGUCAAGCAACCCUCACCUGGGCUGCAGCUUCCUCAUUCCCUGGACCUGCUGAAAGGAGUAAGGGGCCAACCGUCCGGUCCAGAGUGACCAUCAGAACAGCCUCAGCCACCGGGCGGUGGUGAUGCCCACCCUUAAUCCCAGCACUGGGGAGGCAGAGGCAGGCAGAUCUCUGAGUUGGAGACCAGCCUGGUCUAUAGAGAGA